rnacentral:rRNA from 1 species
AGAGUUUGAUCAUGGCUCAGGAUGAACGCUGGCGGCGCGCCUAAUACAUGCAAGUCGAACGGAGUGUGUUCUCGUAACGCACUCAGUGGCGAACGGGUGAGUAACGCGUAGGUGACCUACCCCGAAGAGGGGGAUAACAGCCCGAAAGGGCUGCUAAUACCCCAUGUGGUUCUGUGGGUUAGAGGCCGCAGAACUAAAGGCGUAAGCCGCUUCGGGAUGGGCCUGCGUCCCAUCAGCUAGUUGGUAGGGUAACGGCCUACCAAGGCGAUGACGGGUAGGGGGCCUGAGAGGGUGGCCCCCCACACUGGCACUGAAACACGGGCCAGACACCUACGGGUGGCAGCAGUAGGGAAUAUUGGGCAAUGGGCGAAAGCCUGACCCAGCGACGCCGCGUGCGCGAUGAAGGCCUUCGGGUUGUAAAGCGCUUUUGGAGGGGAUGAGGAAGGACAGUACCCUCCGAAUAAGCCUCGGCUAACUACGUGCCAGCAGCCGCGGUAAAACGUAGGAGGCGAGCGUUAUCCGGACUUACUGGGCGUAAAGCGCGUGUAGGCGGUCCGGCAAGUUGGAUGUGAAAUCUCUCGGCUCAACCGGGAGAGGUCGUUCAAUACUGCUGGGCUAGAGAGCGGUAGAGGGGGGUGGAAUUCCGGGUGUAGCGGUGAAAUGCGUAGAUAUCCGGAGGAACACCAGUGGCGAAGGCGGCCCCCUGGACCGUCUCUGACGCUCAGACGCGAAAGCUAGGGGAGCAAACGGGAUUAGAGACCCCGGUAGUCCUAGCCGUAAACGAUGUGGACUUGGCGUUGGUGGGUUAAAAUCCAUCAGUGCCGAAGCUAACGCGAUAAGUCCACCGCCUGAGGACUACGGCCGCAAGGCUAAAACUCAAAUGAAUUGACGG